rnacentral:lncRNA from 1 species
AUAAGACCCAACUCUUCGGAGCCUCAGUUUAUUAUCAUCUGUAAAAUGGGGAUAACACCAACAGUCUUAGAGGGUUGUUGCAAUGACUAUGUGAAAAACAAACAAAUUAAUACAUGUAGGAUUGCUGUCAGAUUCAUUAUUCUAGAGAGAAAGACGUUAUGCACAUGGAUUAAACCUGAAAGGGAAAAACUGAGGAUUUACUAGCUUUCAGGACUUGCUUUAGCCACUCUAUACGGGGUGUAAAUUGGUAGAAUCUGUAUGGAAAAUCAUUAAGAAAUAUCAGUCACAAUUUAAACGUAGGUCCCCUUUGACUCAGCAACUUCCCUUCUAGGAAAUACCCGCACAUAUUCGUAAAGAUGGGCACACAAGGGGAAAAGCUGGAAACCAGCUAAAAGGGCCACUAAAGAGGGACCGUGAUGGAUCAGCACAGUGGACAUUGCAGAAUUGAACGAGGCAGGUCACGAUUCACCAGCAUGGAGAGAUUUUUAAAAUACAAUGGUACUUCUCGGGGCCUGAUAGCGCACUGAAUUGAAACUUGCAGCUGAAACAUUGCCAGAAAAAAGAAACACGGGUGCAAGCUCUGAGCCCCAGUCUUCCCGAAGUCACCCUCCCAGGCGAUGCCUUUGUGUCCAUUCACAGCUCAGAAGGGAUUGACGUCGGCAAGCCAUUCCCCAAUCUGGACAGCAGGUGGCGGAAGUGACCGAGAUUUCUUUGACCAUCACCAAAGGAUUUCAGCUCCUAGAUAUCUGAAUUUCCAGCCUCAGAGCUCCACCCUCUUCAAUCCACCCUUACUAUGGCCAGUUUUGGUUUCUGAAGACCCACCUUCCUUUUGGGGAAAAAUGAGCAUUUCUAUUUCCACCAGUGGCUGUGAAUAUUAGUAAAACCCCUUUGAAGGGCAAUUCGGCAGUGCCUCUAAAAAGGAGAACACUUAGCCUAGAGAAGAUAAGCAAUAACUCAAGAGUCACUUAAAA